UUGCCAGCCCGCUCAGAAACUCAAAUGAAUUGACGGGGGCCCGGCACAAGCGGUGGAGUAUGUGGUUUAAUUCGAUGCAACGCGAAGAACCUUACCUGGUCUUGACAUCCCGGAGACCCUUAGGAAACUAGGGGGUGCUUCCAUCUGGAAGAAUCUGGAGACAGGUGCUGCAUGGCUGUCGUCAGCUCGUGUCGUGAGAUGUUGGGUUAAGUCCCGCAACGAGCGCAACCCUUGCCUUUAGUUGCCAGCAGUUCGGCUGGGCACUCUAAAGGGACUGCCGGUGUUAAACCGGAGGAAGGUGGGGAUGACGUCAAGUCCUCAUGGCCUUUAUGACCAGGGCUACACACGUACUACAAUGGCCGAUACAAAGGGCAGCGACACUGCGAGGUGAAGCCAAUCCCGUAAAAUCGGUCUCAGUCCGGAUUGGAGUCUGCAACUCGACUCCAUGAAGUUGGAAUCGCUAGUAAUCGUGGAUCAGCAUGCCACGGUGAAUACGUUCCCGGGCCUU
rnacentral:rRNA from 1 species